UAAUUGGGUUCUUUAUUCUUAUGAUAAAGUUAUGUUAUACUAAAUAUUUUUAGUAUAGAAAAUGGUUACAAAUGGUUUAUGUUAAAUAAUUUUCAUUAAGCAAUGUUGAUGGCAUUUCUAAAACAAAAUGUUUUAAGUAUUACAAAUCAAAGAGAUUUAAAUGAAUCGACCUAUUAAUCUCUUACUUAGUUUCGUCUGAAUAAUUAAAUCAUAGGUUAUUAGGACCUUAUGGAGUUAUAAAAUUGAAGAUGGGUUAAGUAAGAAUAAUUUGGUUGUUUAGUGGAUGAUUUCUGAUUAUGGGUCAUGCUGUUAUAAUUUUGAGGGGGAUACAUGUAUGACGAUUCUUGGAGGCUAGUUAUGGCGAUACUUAAGGAGUAAGAAAAGGAAUAACGUUCGAGGUAUUAUAAAGAUAGCUCAGGAUCAGUUAUGUCAAGGAUGCUCCAGGAAGGCUGAGUUGAAGCGACUUUGUAUAUAUUUGGGUUAUCUAGAAUACUCUGUAUUUGUGGGUAGUAUCUAUUGCCUAAUGAUGUUCAUUUGUUUGAUUAAGAGGCCAUUUUAGGCUGUUAUUUCUUAGUGGGCCAUAACCCACAGGAUUAAGUUAUGCUUCCGCUGGCAAUUAAGGUUAUGUAAUUUGUCGGGCGUUACAUAUUAUUAUUAUUAUCAUUAUCAUCAUAGCUAUUUACAUGCUUAUAUAUCAAUCAUAAUGCUUAUAAUAAUAUAUCAUUUAUAGAAA